UACGGGGGGGGCAAGCGUUGUUCGGAAUUACUGGGCGUAAAGGGCUCGUAGGUGGCCAACUAAGUCAGACGUGAAAUCCCUCGGCUUAACCGGGGAACUGCGUCUGAUACUGGAUGGCUUGAGUUUGGGAGAGGGACGCGGAAUUCCACGUGUAGCGGUGAAAUGCGUAGAGAUGUGGAGGAACACCAGUGGCGAAGGCGACUCUUUGGUCUGUAACUGACGCUGAGGCGCGAAAGCGUGGGGAGCAAACAGG
rnacentral:rRNA from 1 species